ACUUCGUGGAUGUUGCAGACUGGACCCUGAGUUAUUCUUUCUGUAAAUAGUCCCUGAUCUUUCUGGUUUCCCCAAGAUGGUCCCUGAAACUCAUGUUCACUGCAAAUCAGUCUCUGCACAUUCUGGUAGGUGAAAUACAGUCUCUAGACUAUUAGAAUGAUGGAAAACCGUCCCUUCUGGAAUCUGGACCAUAGAGCAUGGGCUGGACAGUCAGAUUCAGCCCAUUAAACGACGCAGUUCUUGCGGACCUCAAAUGCAUCUAUGUCUCUCGAAUAUCUGCUGUUUCAACACUGAUAUCACCGCAUCAUCGCCAGCAUUUCUGCCCAGAACACUCGACUCCUAGCGUUUUGAAUUUGCUUUCUAGGUAAAUUUCUGCUUUUGUUCUCGAAAGUCUUGACAAUUUUGGAAUACGAUUGCAGUUAUGGAUUUUUUAACAUUUUGAAAUCUGCUGUUAUUUAUGAGUUACAACAAUCGUCUCGUUAAAGGAUAAGGAAUAUGGCAACUUUGAUUCAGAAAUAGGUUAAUUUUCAGGUGUAGAAGUAUUUGUUUACAUUUUCAUCUAUUUUAUUUUUCAUCAGUUUCUCCUGGUCUUGUGUAUCUCUUGAGUCUUGAUUUACCUGCAAACUUUGAUUUUUAUGUUAUCUUGUUCUUGUGAUGGCAACUUCUUGGUGCCCCGUUAGGAUAUUGGUAACUCCCCUCUUUUCUCCCUGUAAAUAUUUUGGUGUUUGAGUUGUUCACACGAUUGUGCUAAACAAGUUAGACGAGUGAUUUGUAAAUCCAGAGCUUAUCUCUGUGGGUGUAUCAGCCAAAUUCGUCAAAACAUUGAUGGGGCCAUAGGAGACAAGAUAGAAAAUGACGUCAGCCGAAAUUUGCAGUUCAAUCUUUGGCCGUGUAUAACCAAAGAUAAUACUUUUUUUCUUCCUGCUCAAAUGAACUAAAAUUUAAUCGUUGUGGUCAUAUACGGCUCUGCGGAAUCGUUUGUAAGUUUGCAUUGUUGGACAUGUUGAAGUUGAGAUGGUGUAGUUACUGUGGGAGUGGUGAAGUUGGUGGCAGUGUUGUUGACUAUUUAGUCAUGGAUGAGAAGAAAAGGACAAGAAAUUGAAUAAAAUUCAAACCAAAUAAUUAUUUAUCUAUAACUACAUCUUGUAUGGUUUGGAUGUUUGAAAUAGGAUUCAGAAGACAAAAAAUCCUAACCAAUGUGUUCGAAAAUGGAAUGGAUAAACCAAAGCAUACACUGGCUUGGUGUUGCUUGUUGAACUGGACAGUCUGUUCUUCUGAGAUUCGGUUAUUAAUUGUUUGCUUCGAUACUAUAUUCUCUUGAGUUAUUUCCUAUGCAUGAAUUGCCAAUAAAGCCUCUCUCCUUUGGUAAAACUCAUUUCCUACCAUGGAUCACAAUUUAUUUUUUUUAGUUUAAUCAAAUGGAAAAAUAAAUUUACGUAGAAUGUACAAUGAUGUUAGAGAUGUACCACAUUUUGCUAUAGUUUCUCCAACAUUUUUUUCGUCCUGACUUUACUGAUAUAUAGUGUCAUUGGGACUUUCUUCUUUUGCAGUAAUUAUCUGGUCAGCAUGGCAUACGGAUUGUGAUAAUUUUAUGUUGCUGGACUGACAAUUGUACUAUUCAGGAUAUGAAAUCGCAACUACGUGUCUGACCCAAAGUGUUUGUUAAGAGUAUCAAAAUAUUGGCAAUGGACAAAAUAAAUUUUCGAUUUCUUCUUAUUUUCUCAGCAAUUCUUCGAGUCUUCUUAAUAUUGUAUGGGGAGUGGCAAGACGCUCAUAUGGAGGUCAGAUACACGGAUGUCGACUAUCUUGUCUUUUCUGAUGCUGCAGACUUAAUGGCAUCUGGAAAAUCACCUUACAAAAGAUCAACAUAUCGGUAUUCACCAUUGAUUGCUGCUCUUCUCAUGCCAAAUUCAUUUCUUCAUCACCUGUGGGGAAAAUUUCUCUUCUCAGCUUCAGGUAUACCAUGUUGAUUAAUUAACAAAGUGCAGUUAUCUUUAAAGUGGUGAAAGAACUGGAUUAUUGUUAAAUAGUUUAUUUAAAACUGGGUAUAUAUGAAC
rnacentral:lncRNA from 1 species